UUAAAGUGUUCUGAAUUUCAAACAGAAAUAUGAUAUUAGGUAAUUUUAAAGUCACCGAUAAAUUUGACUUUAAAAAUGGAGGAACUUUGUUCUUGAAAUAAGUUACUUGUGACACAAAAAGCAUUGCAACAUGUGGAACGACAUUGAACAGACAGAGCGAGACUCAUUCCAUCUCUAUGAGCUUUGCUGCGAAGUGGGCGUGUCUGCAGAAGAUAUCAAGAACAGAAACUGGCUCAGCGACUAUACCAAUUCACUCUUUAGUCUUGAGGGGAUAGCCAAUUAUGGGUCUGACGUUGAUUUCAUGUUCCACGCUAUAAACGUCGGGAGUAACGCCGAGGGAAUCGGGUUGGAAAAACUGGGAUCCGAUUACAACGUUAUGAUGACACUUUCUGGAACGCGCAUCGCACCACAAAGACAAUCUGAUACCCAUUCUUCUGACGUCCACCUUUUCAAAGUUGUUCAGACCUAUCAUCCCUCGUAUGUUCGACUCCAAUGCGUUUUAAUGGGAACAAGUUCUAGCAGAUCAAUCAUGUCGACGCCAAGUUGCUGUGUCGCUGAUGAGCAGGGGAGGAUGAUUUUGGCCCCUAAAUUACUGAUGGAUUCUUACAGUCGAAAUGGAACCGGAACCAUAAGUGCACCAGGAGUUUCUGGGGUUCUUCGCAGCAGUGUGAAGCCAAUCCUGUGCGUCCAUUCGCCAGUUUGGCCAAUUGCCGCUAGAGAGUGGGCAUUUAGAGUUAGGCGCUUCAUUUGGCCGACAGUUGAACUAAAAAAGUUUAUACUGCAACACGGAUGCCACGUUGUUCCACACGGCAACUCGGAAAGUCCCAACAAACAUCUUGAAUGGCGAUGGUCUUUCUCUCUUGCUGAGAAACUGCUUAUUCGCACAUUCAAUACCACUCAGAUACAGUGUUUCUUCCUGUUGAAGUUGCUCGUUACAUAUGUCAUCAACCCAGCAGUUAUUGAAACCAUAUCCUCAUAUCAUGUCAAAACCGUUAUGCUUCAUAUGGUGGAAAGUACACAUCCAACAGAGUGGACCAAAGACAAACUUUCUUCUUGCUUUGUUGGAUGCCUGCAGAAGCUCUUGCAAUGCUUAGAGGACGGGACUCUUCCACAUUACUUCAUACCAAGCCACAAUCUCUUCCAUCCAAAACUUCAAGGUGAUUCAAGAAUCAGAUUGGUCUCAAUCGUCACUGGCCAGCUCGAAAAAGGUUGGCAAUGUUUACUGCAAUGCCUCCCGCCAAACAUGAACAUGCUUCUCGCAAGACACAAAAUUCAAGUGCGUUGUGAUUGCUAUGAUACUCACUGGGGAAGCGAAGGAUGUGAGCGCAAUGUUUCCAUGGUAGAAAGAUGUUAUACCCUUUUCAAUGCAGCAAUAAGGGUUAUACUUCGUCUUACGGAGAGACAGGACCUACAAUCGACAAUAGACGCCAUGACGAUGUUUAUUGAAUACCCGACAAUGCGUGACCCCGUCCACUUCCCAGACGUACCGACAACGGGCAUAAUGAAAUUGAUGAUUAAGAGUCAUCUUGGAAUUGUCUACUUGGGAUUGUCAAAAAGUUAUCCAUACAACAGAAAGGGAGGUUCACAGACGAUUUUGCCUACUGGACAGAAAUUCAUUGAGGGUGCAAUCGGCGUUGACGCUGCGACUACCAAACUGAAGCUUGCAACGUUUCAUUACAUGACAGAAAACUAUGAUGAAACAAUCAAAAUAACUAUGCAGCUGCUGAGACAAUUCAACGAAUACAUCGUGAACACAACGGGUGAUAAGACAAGGAGAAUGAAAUCGUCCAAACGGCAGAAAGCCUUGCGGAAACAUCGAUCAGUUACAUCAUUGAUUGGAAAUGCGCCAUCUAUGAUGGAAUGGGCAGCUUUGGAACUGACAUUCGGGCCAUGGGAGGUCCCGUUUGCUCCUGAAGCCAUACAAAUGCUGAAAGACAGAGAAGCUAUGACAGACGAUGAUACCGAUCACAGAGGUUUCGUAUUUGUAGAUGCCAUAGUGUAUGCCUAUUUCCUUUUGGCGCUCUCGUACAACAGCAUACAUCGUCCCGUGCACAGACAACAGGCCAUUGACAAUCUUCAGUUGCUCGUCAAAGGAGAGGAGAACAAUGAUAUCCAUUACCCAGAGGUGGCCAGAUUUUUGUUGCCGUACGUCAAGGAAAGAAAACACAAAAACUGUAUGCUAUGUCAUGUUCGGACCUUUUAGUGACAUCGGCCAAUAAUCAACCUGAAACUAACAUAGGGUUUGACGUCAAGAGAAAGCGGGUGACUAUACAUUCAAGUUGCACAAAGGACGUCUUUCCCAACGUGAUGUUUACCAAUAAUCGUCGCAGCUGAUUUUCUUUGCAAAAACGUUGACCUUUUCGUCAGAUAUGACUAGGACGUGGUGCAAAAAAGCAAAUUAAUUUCAUAAAGUAUAAUUGAUGUCACGAGUAAUGUUGAAACAGAUUAUGACUUUAGUUAUAAAACAGGUAUAAAACUCGUGCAGUUUGUUUUAGUGAGCAUGAUUUACGACACAGUAGACAAUAGAAUUUGUAUAAAUGUCACUGUAAUGUCGCGAUGUUUCGUCUGAAAGCUUGUCAAUUUCACAUAAGCAUACUGUAAUAAAAUUAUUGUCGGUGAUGAAGUUUUAAUACAAACUCUGUUACACUGAGUGAGUUAUGUUUGUUAUUAAAAUUGACAUUGCUGAAAAUUAUUAGUUAUAAAUGUAUGUAUAUAUAACUGUAUAUUUUUUGAGAUUAUGAAAUACUGUGGGCGAUGAAACAGUUGUACAUGAUAGAAGCUAAAUAUGAUUAAGAGAUAUUUGCUGAUUACAUGUUAAUCACCUCAAUUUCAUUGUAUUUAAGAUAUACAUGCAACGCUGGUAUACAGGGGUAACGACCACAAAUAUUGAGAAUCAUAUCAUCUGUAUAUCUUUCUAAUUUGAAGACUUCUUUAACGAGCAUUCCGGUAGUAUAUAUUCAUGUCUUAAGUCCCUCGGAGAAAGUAAACUUUAUCAAGAGGAGUAAAAGUGUUUCCAUGUAUUUAAAUUUGAUUGACGUGUAAAAUUGAGUAAGUGAAACUUUUAAAGGUAUAAUUAUCAUGGCUGUCAGGAAGCUCACUAUUUCCCCCUCAAAAAAACGGAGAAAAAAAAUCCGUCAGACCCAUUUUUGCGGGCCAUGUCACAUUUAUAUGUUUCAACAUUAGUUACCUUUUGUUGUUGUAUUUUUAUUUAUUUGCGCUGGAAAAUGACGUGAUUAAUACAGGUGUGAAUUCAUAUAAAAACAAGCAUCUGUUGCAUCCCGUAGAUUAACUGAUGUAUCAAAUGAUGAUCAAACAAAAAAUAAGCAGUAUACAUGUAAAGUUAAGUGGGUUUUAUCAAAUUAUUUCUAUACUGAUUCGAAUGUAUUAAUAAGCCUUAAGGUAUAACUUACAUUGGUGGAUUCAUGAGAUCACGUAAGAGGGGGCAUUAGUUUUGGGCGUUACAUUUUGACUUGCACCCUCCCUUCGAAACGAAAUCUAUUUGGUUUCAAGUGUUGUCAAUUGGGGGGGGGGGGGAGACAAUUUCUAAAUCGAUUUUUUGCAUUUUGGGAGUAUUUCAUUACGCUUAAUCUCCUAUAUUGAAAUAAAAAAAUAAAUUUGGACGAUUUUAGGAUGGGGGCGCCCUGGAUCCACCAAUGACUUACUUUCAGUUGUUGUUUUUUUAAUUAUUUUCUUUGGUUUUCGAAUAAGAACACUUAAAUCUUCAAUUUUAAUCAUUGAUUUUUUUUCUGUUGAGUAUUGAAACGGUGAAGCCAUUUUGGUAUUUAAUUUUAAUUUAUUACAGAUACGUACUUGUUCACUAUUUGUAACACUUUCGUUUGUCGAAAUGAGUUUGUAAUCG